rnacentral:tRNA from 1 species
GCAGUCGUGGCCGAGUGGUUAAGGAGAUGGACUUGAAAUCCAUUGGGGGCUCCCCGCAUAGGUUCGAAUCCUGUCGGCUUGCG